AUCACAUCCUCUCCUUUGAAGUCUGCAGCUCCAAUCACAUCCACUCCUUUGAAGUCUGCAGCUCCAACUCUAACUUCAGGCCAACAAAGCCUACUGGAGGACAAAUGAGCAAACACAGAAGUGACAACUGUCUAACGAGACCAGGCUGGCUGACGGAUUCUGAAAACUGCUAAAUCCUGUUGAGUCCAGCAGAAAGUGUCAACAAGUUCUUGGUUGGACUUCAUUGAUUCCUGAUCACAGACUUGAUUGAUCUUCUUCUCGUCCUAAUGAAACUUCUUUGCCAGCCAAACACGGAGAUCCUUGAGUUUGCUGGCUGAAAGUGCUGAUUGUGCUUCCUGUCAUGUGACCUUUGCCUCCUGUGUCCUUGUGAGACAGGAAGUGACCUCAGCACAGGAAGUGGUGUGUAGCGGGUUGUGCAGAGAAGAAGGACUGUAAGAAGUGGAAAAGUCAACUGGUGAUGAAGAACACGUGUUUGAGACAAUCUGGAAGAAAUCUCCAGUUGAUGAUUUUUAUCCCGAGCAGCGUUUGAUGAGCAGCAAGACGUCUUUCUUCUGAGGUCACCAAAGAUAUCAUCACACGCGUCUACGUCACCCUGGUCCUGCGCGGCCUGUGUGCUGCUGUCAUUUAGGCUGCACCACUUCACCCUGCGGGGGGGGUCACAUGCUUCAAGUGACCUCUGACCUCGCCAGCCGCAGCUUUAAAGUCUCACGCAUGACAUCACUUUUCUGCUUUUUCUAUGGCUUCUUUCUCCUGGCGGCGAACCUUAUCGCACUUUUCUGACUCCUGCCUCAACAGAGAUCAGAGAGCCGAGCGCAGACAUGAGAAACUAAUGCGUUCCAGACACGAGAGAAACCACAUGUAUGUCAAAGACUGGCGUGCAGACAACCAUUACUGGGUUAAUAUUUAUAGCUCAACAUAAAACUGUUUAUUUAAUAUAAUGAGAGCAGCGUGGAUGUGAAAUGAUACACGUUUGCACUCCUCUAAUAAUAAUGUUGCCUUAGGCUCAGCACAUCAAGGACGACACCUUUGAAGCGAUACGGUACCGAUGCCUGGGACAUGAUAAUAAUAAUAAUAAUCUGUACUUUUGUUUGUGUUGAGUGCAAGUAUUUAGCAGCACAAAGAGCAGUGAGUUGCAGAGCACACUCCAGGCCUGAAGGGGCAACAGUGAGAGCUGAGGGCUGAACAUCUCCACCUGCUUCCACCAGACUGGCUUGAUUGAGUUCACCUGUUCACCUGCUCAGAUGUUUAAGUUUAUUCUUAUAAUUAGGAUGGAUUGUUUAAAUUUAAUUUAAUUCAUAUUGUUGGAAAUGUUUAAGUUUAUUCUUAAACCUUAAACCUAUCAGUGGAAAUUAAUUUUGGUUGGAUUGUUUUAAAGCCGGGGUCAGCAACCUUUUUGAAAGCAAGAGCUACUUCUUGGCUACUGAUUAAUGCCAAGGGCUACCAGUUUGAUACACACUUCAAUAAAUUGCCAGAAAUAGCCAAUUUGCUGAAUUUACCUUUAAUAAAUAAAUAAAUAUAAAUAUAUAUAUAUA